AUCCUUUGAACAGAUUUCCUUCCCACCAUCAGAGCUCUGCACAGCCUCAUCCCUCUGUGAGAACACUUUUAGGCCAGGCACGAAGGUGCACGCCUGUAGUCCAAGCACGCAGGAAGCUGGGGCAGAAGAGUCUGAGGUCACAAGCAAGUUCAAAGCCCGCCUGUGUUAUAUACUGCGAUCCUGCCUCCAAGCAAAGAAGCAAACAAAUUCUGGAUUGAUUUCCCCAUGGUUGCCUUCUUAUCCUCUGACAUGAACCAUGGCCCUGCUAUGCCAACCUGCCUUGGAGCCAACUUAGUAUGGACCAAAACCUCCAAGAACCGAAAACACACUAUUUCUCCCCCAAAUAUGAGCACUACUGAACAGAAGAGAAUUGAAAAGCAUGGGGGAUGUCCCCCACUCCGGGAGUCACAAAGACAAGACAUCUCUUCCCUCAGACCUGCCACUUCGGCUGUCUGAGGUAGGGUAACUGGCUCCUUUCCAGGCCUGUAUUCUCUGCAAGCAGAUUCUCCUCCCAAACAGGAGUUCCUGGGGUAAUGGUGGAACAGUAAGCAGUAGCAGAGUAAACAGCCUCUCUAGGAGAAGCAGCUCAGAUGCUGGAAUGCACUCUGGAGAAGACAAGAAAGAAGGAAGUGAGUCCCCACAUGCAAGAAGAAUCUAGAGUGAGGAUUGAAGCCCACAGAAAGAAUAAAAAAAAAAAAAGAAAAAGAAAAAAAAACUUAAACAGAAGAAGGCAGUUGCUGGAGGUGCUUUUACCCAGAGCUGGAACCACUGUGCUAGAAGCACCGUUGGAACCUGAGGACGCAUGGGCACAGUGCAGCUGGUGGCUGGCAAGCCUGAAGGCCUCUCUGGAGAGACUCAGUGGAAGAGGGAGCAGGAGAACUGCUGGUGGUGAGUGUGGGGGAUUCAGUCCUCCCGUGGGGGUGGGUGAUUGGUGGGGGGCCAUUUUGGAGUUGGGCAGGAUAAGCCUGGAGCCAGAACUGCAGCUGGCCUCAUUCAGCCACUCCUAGCUUGGAGCAGACUGGUGGAAAUUGUUGGACUGAGUUGCGACCCUGUGCACAAUCCUACAGCCACACUGAGGUUUCCCUAAAGCUCUCCCCAACCAGCUUUGCCCGCCCUGAGCAUACUAACAUGGUGAGUGCUCCCUAUAGUUAAACAGCUUUGGAGGGAGCCACCAGCCUGCCCUGCCUCUGCUUGCACUCCACCAGCCACCUGUAGCCCUACAACAGUGCACCCAAUGGUCACCAUCAGAUCUCCCUAGCCAGCACGCUUCAGAGGAAUUAUAGCUAACACAGGAAGUGCUGGGGACUCCACCUCUCAUUUGUCCAGAAGGAACCAGGAACGUGGCAAAAGGAAGAAGCAAAAACAGUCUCUAGCCUCCAAUCCAGCAGUACUGGUCCAUGAGAUGUUAACAUGGAAGAGAUUAGGAGUCGUGCACCUGAAGUUUCUAAAGCAACAGAAACUGAAAUAAAAGAACAACUUCAAGAGGCUAUAAAAGAAAUUAGAACAGAAAUACUAUCUCAGAUAAAAGAAGAAAUGAGAAACAUAAUAAAAGAAUUGCUGAACACCUCUAAAGAAGACACAGAUGGAAGAAUAGAGGAGCAUAGAAAAAUAAGGGAAACCUUUAAUAAAGAAUACAAAAAAGAUUUAGAAUACAUGAAACAUUCAAAGAGAUUACCAGGAAAUUAUUAUUUAUUUAUUUAUUUAUUUUUACCAGGGAUCGAACUCACAACCACUUGUUCACAAGGCAGGUGCUUAUGCCGCUGAGCUAAAUUCCCAGCCCCAAGAUUACCAGGAAAUUAAAAACUUCACUGAAAGCUGGCAAAACUGCUUGAAAGAAACUAAAGAUAGACUAUCAAACCUUGAAGACAGGUUUGCAACUUGCAAUCACGAAAGAUCUCUUAAAAGUAGUAAGGAAUCAGGAAGUAAAAAUACAAAGGCUAGAAGAUGACAAGAGGAUCUAUAAUUUAAGAAUAAAAUAUAGGAAUGAAGAAUCAGGGGUAAACACAAAUGAAAUACAAAGGUUAUUUACAGAAAUAAUUAAAGAAAAUUUCCCAAGCAUAGGAAAAGAAAGUGAUAUUCAGAUAAGUAAGGCAUACUGAACUCCAGCCAGCUAUAAUCAAAA